CUCGUAUGGGGACCUUCUGAGUCUGGGGCCCUGGGCGCCUGCAUGGCUUUCACACCCAUGAAGAGGUGCUGACAAGGUUAUAGCCCUGGCCGAAUCCACCACCAAGUCCAAGGUCAAAUCCUUCGGCUCUGUGUUCCUCCCUCCACAUUUGUGCUCAUGUGGUCCCAGGACUGCCUUUUCCUCUCCUCUGGUCCUGGUUCACCUCUCUAACUUGCCCCGGGUGCUCAAGAAGAUCAAGAAAUGGCGAAGAAACAGCUGCGGAGAGGGGACACGCCUUGGAGCACGCGGCUGCUGACCACAACAGCGGGGACUUGGUUCAAUAGGGGGCUGUGAAGCCCUUAGCCCCU